AAAAUUCUAUUUUAGGAAAGUUUUCAUUUUUUCAUAGAAAUAUUGUAGAUUUGGGGUUGUGAUUUAGAAAUUAGGAUAACAAUAAUUUUUGUUGAUAGAUGAGUAUUAUUUCAGAUUUUUUUGAUCAAUAGUUGUAGUUUUUAAAUAUAAUUUUCAAAAAUUCUAUUUUAGGAAAGUUUUCAUUUUUUCAUUGAAAUAUUGUAGAUUUGGGGUUGUGGUUUAGAAAUUAGGAUAACAAUAAUUUUUGUUGAUAGAUGAGUAUUCUUUUAAAUUUUUUUGAUCAAUAGUUGUAUUUUUUAAAUAUAAUUUUCAAAAAUUCUAUUUUAGGAAAGUUUUCGUUUUUUUCAUCGAAAUAUUGUAGAUUUGGGGUUGUGAUUUAGAAAUUAGGAUAACAAUAAUUUUUGUUAAUAGAUGAGUAUUAUUUCAGAUUUUUUUGAUCAAUAGUUGUAUUUUUUAAAUAUAAUUUUCAAAAAUUCUAUUUUAGGAAAGUUUUCAUUUUUUCAUUGAAAUAUUGUAGAUUUGGGGUUGUGGUUUAGAAAUUAGGAUAACAAUAAUUUUUGUUGAUAGAUGAGUAUUCUUUUAAAUUUUUUUGAUCAAUAGUUGUAUUUUUUAAAUAUAAUUUUCAAAAAUUCUAUUUUAGGAAAGUUUUCAUUUUUUCAUAGAAAUAUUGUAGAUUUGGGGUUGUGAUUUAGAAAUUAGGAUAACAAUAAUUUUUGUUGAUAGAUGAGUAUUAUUUCAGAUUUUUUUGAUCAAUAGUUGUAUUUUUUAAAUAUAAUUCUCAAAAAUUAUAUUUUAGGAAAGUUUUCAUUUUUUCAUAGAAAUAUUGUAGAUUUGGGGUUGUGGUUUAGAAAUUAGGAUAACAAUAAUUUUUGUUGAUAG
rnacentral:lncRNA from 1 species